AGUUCAAGUCAGCAGCCGAGUUACAGGAAAGCAGCCAGGGCAAUGAUUCAGCAAGUCCAGGCAGGAGUGAACCAGGCAAGAUUUCGGGAGGAGAGGGCUGGGUCGCGUGUCCUGGCAGGGCCACAGGAAGAGCAUACACAUCUCCUGCGUCUUCGUAUUUUCUGUCUGCAGUGCAGGAAGCCAACUAUUAAGGGGAAACAAAAGUGUUCUUAGGAGUCCUGCUGUCACUGUGGAUUGAGCCGGUGAAGCCCUGAGGGAUUUCAUCGCUGAGGUGGAUGGAGAAGCAGCUGGGGGCCUUGGCUGUAAGGACCCCUAAGGGCCUGAUCUUUUGGCCAGAAGGAGAUUAAAAAGAUGCCCCUCAAGAUGGCUGUGCCUGUCAGCUGCAUGGAGCUUCGUUCAAGUAUUUUCUGAGCCUGAUGGAUUUACAGUGAUCUUCAGUGGUCUGGGGAAUAACGCUGGUGGAACCAUGCACUGGAAUGACACACGCCCGGCACAUUUCAGGAUACUAAAAGUGGUUUUAAGGGAGGCUGUGGCUGAAUGCCUCAUGGAUUCUUACAGCUUGGAUGUCCAUGGGGGACGAAGGACUGCAGCUGGCUGAGAGGGUUGAGAUCUCUGUUUACUUAGAUCUCUGCCAACUUCCUUUGGGUCUCCCUAUGGAAUGUAAGACCCCGACUCUUCCUGGUGAAGCAUCUGAUGCACGUUCCAUCCGGCGCUCAGCUGGGCUUGAGGACUUCGCAGGUGAGCAGUAACGGAAAUCAGCCCCGUUUAUUCCUCCCAGCACCUGCCUUAUCCAACUCCCCACGCUGUGGCUGAGUCCCAGCCUGCUAUGGAAGCAUCACUGGACUCCCAUUGAACUCUGUGCAGAUUCGCUGUUCGUAGACAUGGUACCUGAUGGACACCAAGCUACGUACAGCUUCAAGGCCCCUUCUUUCUUUGCUAAUAAAAAAUAAAAAAUAAAAACAUAA
ensembl:lncRNA PVT1 Pvt1 oncogene